UAACGAGGAUUCCCCUAGUAACUGCGAGUGAAGCGGGAAGAGCUCAAAUUUGUAAUCUAAUGGCCUCUGGCUGUUCGAGUUGUAAUCUGUAGAGGCAUCGUCCGCAUCAUGGCCAUGUCUAAGUCUCCUGGAAUGGAGCUUCAUAGAGGGUGAGAAUCCCGUAUAUGAUAUGGACCAGUGUUGCUCUGUGAGAUGCCCUCAAAGAGUCGCGUUGUUUGGGAAUGCAGCGCAAAAUGGGUGGUAAAUUCCAUCUAAGGCUAAAUAUUGGCGAGAGACCGAUAGUGAACAAGUACCGUGAGGGAAAGAUGAAAAGCACUUUGAAAAGAGAGUUAAAUAGUACGUGAAAUUGUUGAAAGGGAAACGCUUGGAGUCAGCCAUGUUCUGAGGCACUCAGCCUUGCUUUGGCUUGGUGUAUUUGUCUUAGGAUGGGUCAACAUCAAUUUUGGCCAGUAGAUAAAGGCAAGGGGAAUGUGGCAUUGCUUUAGUGAUGUGUUAUAGCUCUUUGUCAAAUGUACUGGCUGGGAUUGAGGAAUUGCAGCAUGCCCUUGUGGCUGGAGAUUCGUCUCACGAAACAUGCUUAAGAUGUUGGCGUAAUGGCUUUAAGCGACCCGUCUUGAAACACGGACCAAGGAGUCUAACAUGCUUGCAAGUGUUCGGGUGGAAAACCCUUGCGCAGAAUGAAAGUGAAAGUUGGGAGCCUUUAUAAGAGGUGCACCGACGCCUGGCCCUGAUGUUCUCUGAUGGUGCUGCGGUAGAGCAAGUAUGUUGGGACCCGAAAGAUGGUGAACUAUGCCUGAAUAGGGUGAAGCCAGAGGAAACUCUGGUGGAGGCUCGUAGCGAUUCUGACGUGCAAAUCGAUCGUCAAAUUUGGG
rnacentral:rRNA from 1 species